CUACGGGUGGCAGCAGUGGGGAAUAUUGGACAAUGGGCGAAAGCCUGAUCCAGCCAUGCCGCGUGUGUGAAGAAGGCCUUCGGGUUGUAAAGCACUUUCAGUGGGGAAGAAAGCCUUGGGGCUAAUACCCUCGAGGAAGGACAUCACCCACAGAAGAAGCACCGGCUAACUCCGUGCCAGCAGCCGCGGUAAUACGGAGGGUGCGAGCGUUAAUCGGAAUUACUGGGCGUAAAGCGCGCGUAGGCGGUCUGAUAAGCCGGUUGUGAAAGCCCCGGGCUCAACCUGGGAACGGCAUCCGGAACUGUCUGGCUAGAGUGCAGGAGAGGAAGGUAGAAUUCCCGGUGUAGCGGUGAAAUGCGUAGAGAUCGGGAGGAAUACCAGUGGCGAAGGCGGCCUUCUGGACUGACACUGACGCUGAGGUGCGAAAGCGUGGGUAGCAAACAGGAUUAGAUACCCCGGUAGUC
rnacentral:rRNA from 1 species